AGAUUGAACGCUGGCGGCAGGCCUAACACAUGCAAGUCGAGCGGUAGAGAGGUGCUUGCAUCUCUUGAGAGCGGCGGACGGGUGAGUAAUGCCUAGGAAUCUGCCUAGUGGUGGGGGAUAACGUUCGGAAACGGACGCUAAUACCGCAUACGUCCUACGGGAGAAAGCGGGGGACCUUCGGGCCUCGCGCCAUUAGAUGAGCCUAGGUCGGAUUAGCUAGUUGGUGAGGUAAUGGCUCACCAAGGCGACGAUCCGUAACUGGUCUGAGAGGAUGAUCAGUCACACUGGAACUGAGACACGGUCCAGACUCCUACGGGAGGCAGCAGUGGGGAAUAGUUGGACAA
rnacentral:rRNA from 1 species